rnacentral:rRNA from 1 species
CACGCUGUAAACGAUGAAAACUAAGUAUUGCCGCGAGGCAGUGCUGUAGCUAACGCAUUAAGUUUUCCGCCUGGGGAGUACGCUCGCAAGAGUGAAACUUAAAGGAAUUGACGGGGGCCCGCACAAGCAGUGGAGCAUGUGGUUUAAUUCGACGCUACGCGAAGAACCUUACCAGGACUUGACAUCCCCUGAAUGACUCGUAAUGGAGGAAGCCCUACGGGGCAGGGAGACAGGUGG